GCCGGGCGUGGUGGCUCACGCUUGUAAUCCCAGCACUUUGGGAGGCUGAGGCAGGUGGAUCACCAGAGGUCAGGAGUUCGAGACCAGCCUGACCAACAUGGUGAAACCCCGUCUCUA
rnacentral:SRP_RNA from 2 species